rnacentral:misc_RNA from 1 species
UUAAGUUCAGCGGGUAUCCCUACCUGAUCCGAGGUCAAAACUGAUAAGAGGCUACGCUCAUGGAGAGCCGACAUCCAGCGGCAAGCGCGUAUCUGCUGCGCAAUUAGCUACAAUGUCUGCUGCCAGUGACUUUGAGGCGAGUCCACGCAUAGCACGGGACAAUCGCCCAACACCAAGCUAGGCUUGAAGGUUUGAAACGA